rfam:Triticum aestivum genome assembly, contig: Triticum_aestivum_CS42_TGACv1_scaffold_000171_1AL
CUUGUACUCCCUCCGUCCAAAAAUACUUGUCAUUGAAAUGGAUGUAUCUAGAUGUAUUUUAAUUCAAGACACAUCCAUUUUGAUGACAAGUAAUUCCGGACAGAGGGAGUACUUG